CAGGCUGCCAUGCUUACUGCUACGUCCUGCCACUGCUGCCCUUGGUGCAUCAUUCUUCCACACCUUUCAUCUGGCCUGAGUGUGUAUGUAGGGCUGCUUUUGCCCAAGCAAAGAUCCUUGAGAGUAAACUGAUUUCUUCUGAGAAUGAGUCUGCAUAGAUUUAAUGUUACUGCAUCUGUGAGCAGUACCAGUCAUCAAAACUGCAUCCGUUACAUAUCUGGAAGGGCUGAACCAAUGAAGUAUGGGUUGUAACACAAAUCAGAAGGACUGAAGCAUGGCACACUCCCUUCUGGAAUGGUCCCUCCCUUUGUGGGUCAGCAGGACAGCUGUGGCUAUGAGGGGCUGCCCGAGCUGAAGAACAGUGAAGCUGGGAAGUGACUGGUCCUGAAAAGCCAAUUGGAUGCCCUAUGAUCUCUGCCUCAGUCAGCUACAUUUGAUCCUGCUCCUCAAUUUCAUUGGGGGAAUCUGACUGCAGCGUUCCUAUUGACUUAAUAAGGUCUGGGGUUCUGGUAGAAUUUCUUUUGUGCUGAAAUGAGGCAUCUGGGGCUCUGCCCUGGAUAACAAUAUUGGACACCAUGGCUAUCCUGAACUCCAGAAGUAUGAGAAACCUUUUCCCAAAGCAUCUAAGAUUGAGUUGUGCCUGGUGUGCCAAAGCUACUAUCAUUUCAUAGAAUGGUCUAGAUUGAAAAGGACCACAAUGCUCAUCCAGUUUCACCCUGCUAUGUGCAGAGUCACCAACCACUAGACCAGGCUGCC